rnacentral:rRNA from 1 species
AGAGUUUGAUUAUGGCUCAGAACGAACGCUGGCGGCGCGUUUUAAGCAUGCAAGUCGAGCGGCAAGGGUCUUCGGGCCCCUAGAGCGGCGGACGGGUGAGUAACACGUGGACAAUCUGCCCCCCGGCCGGGGAUAGCCCAGGGAAACCUGGAUUAAUACCGGAUGAGACGGGACCCGCGGAGGCGGGAUCCGGGAAAGGCGCUGCGGCGCCGCCGGGGGAUGAGUCUGCGUCCCAUUAGCUUGACGGCGGGGUAACGGCCCACCGUGGCGACGAUGGGUAGCCGGCCUGAGAGGGUGUACGGCCACAUUGGAACUGAGACACGGUCCAGACUCCUACGGGAGGCAACAGCUAAGAAUCUUCCGCAAUGGGCGAAAGCCUGACGGAGCGACGCCGCGUGAACGAAGAAGGCCGUGAGGUUGUAAAGUUCUUUUCGGGAGGGGGAACAACCGUGGCAGGGAAUGGCCGCGGGAUGACGUGAAUCCCGGAAUAAGCCCCGGCUAACUACGUGCCAGCAGCCGCGGUAACACGUAGGGGGCGAGCGUUGUUCGGAAUCAUUGGGCGUAAAGGGCGUGCAGGCGGUCCUGCAAGUCCGGCGUGAAAGACCCCGGCCCAACCGGGGGGGCGCGCUGGAAACUGCAGGGCUUGAGUACAGGAGGGGAUGCCGGAAUUCCAGGUGUAGGGGUGAAAUCUGUAGAUAUCUGGAGGAACACCAAUGGCGAAGGCAGGCAUCUGGCCAUGUACUGACGCUGAGACGCGAAGGUGCGGGGAGCAAACAGGAUUAGAUACCCUGGUAGUC